rnacentral:rRNA from 1 species
AAUUUUGGACAAUGGGGGCAACCCUGAUCCAGCCAUCUCGCGUGUAUGAUGAAGGCCUUCGUGUUGUAAAGUACUUUUGGCGUCGAAGAAAAGGUAUUCCAGAAAACGGGUUACUGCUGACGGUAUCGGCAGAAUAAGCACCGGCUAACUACGUGCCAGCAGCCGCGGUAACACGUAGGGUGCAAGCGUUAAUCGAAAUUACUGGGCGUAAAGAGUGUGUAGGCAGUUCGGAAAGAAAGAUGUGAAAUACCAGCGCUGAACAAUGGAACUGCAUUUUUAACUGCCGAGCAGGAGUAUGUAAGAGGGGGGUAGGAAUACACGUAUAGGAGCGAGAUGCGUAGAUAUGUGGAGGAAUAACGAUGGCGAAGGAAGCCCCCUGGGAUAAUACUGACGCACAGACACGAAAGCGUGGGGAGCAAACAGG